rnacentral:lncRNA from 1 species
UUUUCAUUCAUUGAUCUGUAUAUUCUUUGAGCCAGUUGCUCCAGGGCCAGUGGUGACCAGAUGAGGACUGGAGUCAAGUGUGCAGAGUCUUGGCGAUUAACAUGGAAACCAAACUGACCCAGGGUUAAGUAAAGGCUUAAUCCAGGAGAAGAACUUGACAGAGUACAUCCUGCAGAGAGUAGCUUAAGCUAGAAAGGACUGCCUGUGACACCUGCCUGCUAUCUAUAAAACACUCAUUCCUCUUUCAACUCUGCCUGCAGCCGAACACAAAGACCUGGAGGAGACUCCCACAUCCUUCGGGGAGAAGAAAGGAGGCAGCGGCGCCGGUUCCGGGAGCUCGUGGCUCGUGGCCUUCGGGAGGGGGGAAGUGGAUCGCGGCGUUGGCGGCGGCGUUGGCGGCGGCGGGCGAGCCGUGAGAUGCGGCGGCGCCGCGGCGGCGCCUGCUGACACCCCGGUCCCCGGCGCCGGCCGCUGCCCUUUGUGCUUCGCGUACAUGUGUCAGCUCGGCGCAUCCGGAGGCGCGCGCACCGGAAUCCAACACGGCCG